UCUUCUUCUUCUUCUUCCUUUCUCUCUCACGCUCUUCUCCUCCAUUUCAGAUCUCUAGGGUUUCGACCUAGAUCGCUAAACUGCAGAGGCUUUUUCAUCUCCUGAGUCACCGGCGAGUUUACCGAGUCACCGACCGAGUCGCGAUGGCGGGGAAGAACGACUCGGUGUCCAUUCGGGUGCGGAAGAAACAUGUAUAUAACUCCUAAUUAUUGGAAAAGAAAGUUUGGUGCUGGUUCAUCAUCACAUGCCAAUGCUAUUGGUACUGCUGCUGUUGUUGCCAACACUGGAGCUGCUGCUGCCUCCACUGGUACCAGCUGAAUUGUGAUUGAUGCCGUUUAUAGGUUGGAGAAGUGUUGUUUCUAUAGUUUGUGUUCUUUCUAAGAACUAGUUAGGAGAUGUAGUUUUUUAUUUUUUAUUUUUAGUUUUUUUUGUGGUCUGCUCAAUAUGCUGUUUUGGUUGGAAUCUUAGUGAGAAACAAUUGGUUCGUGCAAUUUCGCCUUAGCCCAUACCUUAUUGCAGUUAUGUCUUUUUUCUUUGAUUCGGUGGUAAUAUAUUGAAACGAUGUUGUAACUUGUAUUUGAUUUGUAGGCACUAAAAUUAGUUUAC